rnacentral:rRNA from 1 species
GUGCUACGCUAGAUCAUACAGGUGUGAUCGGAGUCAUGACAGGUUGCUGGAAGGCUGGACAGUGGCGCACGGGUGAGGAAUACAUCAGAAUCUACUCCGUCGUGGGGGAUAACGUAGGGAAACUUACGCUAAUACCGCACACGACCUACGGGUGAAAGCAGGGGACCUUCGGGCCUUGCGCGAUUGAAUGAGCCGAUGUCGGAUUAUCUAGUUGGCGGGGUAAAGGCCCACCAAGGCGACGAUCCGUACCUGGUCUGAGAGGAUGAUCAGCCACACUGGAACUGAGACACGGUCCAGACUCCUACGGGAGGCAGCAGUGGGGAAUAUUGGACAAUGGGCGCAAGCCUGAUCCAGCCAUACCGCGUGGGUGAAGAACGCCUUCGGGUUGUAAAGCCCUUUUGUUGGGAAAGAAAUCCAGCUGGCUAAUACCCGGUUGGGAUGACGGUACCCAAAGAAUAAGCACCGGCUAACUUCGUGCCAGCAGCCGCGGUAAUACGAAGGGUGCAAGCGUUACUCGGAAUUACUGGGCGUAAAGCGUGCGUAGGUGGUCGUUUAAGUCCGUUGUGAAAGCCCUGGGCUCAACCUGGGAACUGCAGUGGAUACUGGGCGACUAGAAUGUGGUAGAGGGUAGCGGAAUUCCUGGUGUAGCAUUGAUAUGCGUAGAGAUCAAGAGGAACA